CUAAUACCGCAUAAGAGUAGAUGUUGCAUGACAUUUGCUUAAAAGGUGCAAUUGCAUCACUACCAGAUGGACCUGCGUUGUAUUAGCUAGUUGGUGGGGUAACGGCUCACCAAGGCGACGAUACAUAGCCGACCUGAGAGGGUGAUCGGCCACACUGGGACUGAGACACGGCCCAGACUCCUACGGGAGGCAGCAGUAGGGAAUCUUCGGCAAUGGACGGAAGUCUGACCGAGCAACGCCGCGUGAGUGAAGAAGGUUUUCGGAUCGUAAAGCUCUGUUGUAAGAGAAGAACGAGUGUGAGAGUGGAAAGUUCACACUGUGACGGUAUCUUACCAGAAAGGGACGGCUAACUACGUGCCAGCAGCCGCGGUAAUACGUAGGUCCCGAGCGUUGUCCGGAUUUAUUGGGCGUAAAGCGAGCGCAGGCGGUUAGAUAAGUCUGAAGUUAAAGGCUGUGGCUUAACCAUAGUACGCUUUGGAAACUGUUUAACUUGAGUGCAAGAGGGGAGAGUGGAAUUCCAUGUGUAGCGGUGAAAUGCGUAGAUAUAUGGAGGAACACCGGUGGCGAAAGCGGCUCUCUGGCUUGUAACUGACGCUGAGGCUC
rnacentral:rRNA from 1 species